UGUAGCAAGGUGUUUAGCAUAUUGUGUUUUGAUUACAAUGGGGAUUAGUGUCUGUUACUU
rnacentral:tRNA from 1 species